rnacentral:rRNA from 1 species
GAAUCUUCCGCAAUGGGGGCAACCCUGACGGAGCGACGCCGCGUGGGCGAAGAAGGCCGAAAGGUUGUAAAGCCCUUUUCUGGACGAAGAAUAAGCGGGUGAGGAAAUGCGCCCGCGAUGACGUUAGUCCAGGAAUAAGCCCCGGCCAAUUACGUGCCAGCAGCCGCGGUAAUACGUAAGGGGCAAGCGUUGUUCGGAAUUAUUGGGCGUAAAGGGCGUGUAGGCGGAACGGUACGUCUGGUGUUAAAGAUCCCGGCCCAACCGGGGGAGAGCGCUGGAAACUGCCGAUCUUGAGUCCAGGAGGGGGAGCUGGAAUUCCAGGUGUAGGGGUGAAAUCUGUAGAUAUCUGGAAGAACACCGGUGGCGAAGGCGAGCUCCUGGCCUGAGACUGACGCUGAGGCGCGAAAGCGUGGGGAGCGAACAG